AACGCUGGCGGCAGGCCUAACACAUGCAAGUCGAGCGAACCCUUCGGGGUUAGCGGCGGACGGGUUAGUAACGCGUGGGAAUAUACCCUUUGGUACGGAAUAGCCUCGGGAAACUGAGAGUAAUACCGUAUGUGCCCUUCGGGGGAAAGAUUUAUCGCCAAAGGAUUAGCCCGCGUUGGAUUAGAUAGUUGGUGGGGUAAUGGCCUACCAAGUCUACGAUCCAUAGCUGGUUUGAGAGGAUGAUCAGCAACACUGGGACUGAGACACGGCCCAGACUCCUACGGGAGGCAGCAGUGGGGAAUCUUAGACAAUGGGCGCAAGCCUGAUCUAGCCAUGCCGCGUGGACGAUGAAGGCCUUAGGGUUGUAAAGUCCUUUCAGAUGGGAAGAUAAUGACGGUACCAUCAGAAGAAGCCCCGGCUAACUCCGUG
rnacentral:rRNA from 1 species